rnacentral:lncRNA from 1 species
GUUGACAACAAUUGGAUGACGUUGAUGUUGGUAAUUGGACUUGAGGAAAAAUGAGACUUAUGGGAUGAGAUUGUAAUGCCGUUAGUAACUUGAAUAAUGAAUUCCUUUAAAUUAUUUUGACCUGAUGGAAGUAUUUUGGGAUUUUGUGUGUGUUAAGGCUAUUAAAUGGAUGAUUGUCUUUAAUAUUAAUUGGUAAUACAGGUGAUUUCUGACGUUGAGUGAAAAAAGAAAGUGAUAUAAUCUCCGUAGGAGCUUGUGCACACACAAGGGCAAAAAGGUAAGUAAAAAUCCAUUUACAACUACGAUGCAAGAAUCUAGCAUUUGUAGUAUAGUGAUGUUAGGAUAUUUUCAUACUUUGAUAAGAAAGCUCGUUGUACCCUAUAUGAUGAUUAUGAUCAUUGAAUAUGCGGUUGCAAAAUACAUUGACAUCAACUUCCAUUGAGCAUGUCAUUCAUGAGCAUUUUCGUUGGCAUGCACAACAUAUGAUCAUGGUUGAAAACUUUGCAUGUGAAACAUGAUUUCAAAGUAAGUUUUCUUUAUAAAUGUUUUAUUGACCACUACUAGGGCACCGAGGCAUGUGAGGCAUGCUUAUGUGAUAUGUUUGGCAUCGCGGGUGAUACUUCCUGGGUGAUUGCAAAGGUAGACAGGGGAUGGCCCUUUGGUGAUCACGGGAGGGCGGACCACUCAAUUAUGCCCUUGUAAUGAUUAUUGGCGCUGCCGGGUAGAAGACUUCUUGGGUGAUCAUAGGGGUAGUUAGGGGAUGGGCCUCUAGCGGUCACGAGAGGAUGGUCCACUCGCCGGUGUCGAUUUUAUAUUGGCCAAUUGAUUAUUGAUAUUGAUAUUAUGCAGAGCUCUAUCAAGUGCAUAGUUGGUGGGUCAAGGGCCCAAUGAAAUGAAAGAUUUCAAAUGAAAUAAUUUCGAGUCGACUUUGAUGAAUAUUGGAAUAUGAUGCAUCUUUAGCAUGAUGUUUAAAGUAAAUGACAUGGUGUCACAUAUCCUUGUUACUCAUACUCAUGAAAUGCAUGAUUCUUGCUUACUAAGCAUUGGCUUAUGUAGUUCUUGCAUUGUAGGUGAGCAUGGAACUAUGUAGAGGGCACGGCUAGCUGUGGAGCUCUUACGGGAUUCCAAAGAUCAAUGUACAUGGAUGACGACCUGUAGGGUUAUUUUGUGGGCUAUUGUUUUGAGCUUACACUCUAUUGUGUCGUAUUUUGGGGGUCCUAUCUUGUAUAACUUUUGAAAUGGCCUAUAGAUGUGUUUAUAAACUUAGAACAUACGUGUUGGAUUAUGGUUAUAUGAUCGCUGAUUUUGAUAUAAUAUAUGAUCAUCACAGGUGAUUUGAAGUUAACAAAUAGGGACAUAAUUG